rnacentral:rRNA from 1 species
CGUGGGGGAUCUUCGGACCUCACGCUAUCAGAUGAGCCUAGGUCGGAUUAGCUAGUUGGUGGGGUAAAGGCCUACCAAGGCGACGAUCCGUAACUGGUCUGAGAGGAUGAUCAGUCACACUGGAACUGAGACACGGUCCAGACUCCUACGGGAUGCUAACACUGGGGAAUAUUGGACAAUGAUCGAUAGCGUGAUCCACGCCAGGCCGCGUGUUGAAGAAGCUCUUCGGAUGGUAAGCACUAUAAGUUGGGAUGAAGGGCAGUAAGUUAAUACCUUGCUGUUUUGACGUUACCUACAGAAUAAGCACCGGCUAACUUCGUGCCAGCAGCCGCGGUAAUACGAAGGGUGCAAGCGGUAAUCGGAAUUACUGGGCGUAAAGCGCGCGUAGCUGGUUCAGCAAUUUGGAUGUGAAAUCCCCGGGCUCAACCUGGGAACUGCAUCCAAAACUACUGAGCUAGAGUACGGUAGAGGGUGGUGGAAUUUCCUGUGUAGCGGUGAAAUGCGUAGAUA